AGCGAACGCUGGCGGCAGGCCUAACACAUGCAAGUCGAACGAACCUUUCGGGGUUAGUGGCGGACGGGUGAGUAACACGUGGGAACGUGCCUUUAGGUUCGGAAUAACUCAGGGAAACUUGUGCUAAUACCGAAUGUGCCCUUCGGGGGAAAGAUUAAUCGCCUUUAGAGCGGCCCGCGUCUGAUUAGCUAGUUGGUUGAGGUAAUGGCUCACCAAGGCGACGAUCAGUAGCUGGUCUGGGAGGAUGAUCAGCCACAUUGGAGCUGAGACACGGCCCAAACUCCUACGGGAGGCAGCAGUGGGGAAUCUUGCGCGAUGGGCGAAAGCCUGACGCAGCCAUGCCGCGUGAAUGAUGAAGGUCUUAGGAUUGUAAAAUUCUUUCACCGGGGACGAUAAUGACGGUACCCGGAGAAGAAGCCCCGGCUAACUUCGUG
rnacentral:rRNA from 1 species